rnacentral:lncRNA from 10 species
CUUUUCUAUAAAGGACCCAACUUGAAAGGGAAAUUUUGCUGACAGUGAGAGUUUGAGUUUCAGUCCCUAAAGCCAGGGGCAAGUUUUUCAAGAGACCCAUACUGCAAGGCCACAUUGUGGACUAUGUAACUUCAGCUAAUUUCUUGGAAAUCAAUCAAAGCAUAUGGACUAUAUUUUAAUUCUACAGACAUUGCGUUAGGCAGAACAGCUACCAACACCCAAUCCCUGAAAUUUGUGAUUAUGUUUUGAUACAUGGCAAAAGGAACUAUGCAGAUGUAAUUAAGGUUAAGAACUUUAAAAUAGGAAGAUUAAAUCCAAGGAGUUCUUCAAAGUAAAGAACUACUACAUGCAGAAGGUGAGAAACUCCAGUGUUGGAACCUGGCCUUCAAUGUUGUCAUGCCAAGAUUGGGAAGAAAUAACAGAGAGUGCUUGAAGAAUAGAUGUGGCUAGGACAAUAUCUCUGAAUCUCUGAAUGGCCCAUGGUGGUGACCCCCAGCCAGAGUGAACUGUGCAGCAGCAAUGGUGCCCAGUGGGCAGCAACAGUGGAACAGAAGGUGAGGAAGGGGCCAGAAGGAAUCCUUUAGGAAAUUAAGAAAAGGAUAAAAAUAUGAUAAAAAUGUGGUGUCCAGGCGAGAAACGGAAUAACCUCAUCCCUGUUCUGACUAACAAUUUGGUAAUAUUUUGACAGUUUUGAACAAGAACUUCCUUCUCCUUUUCUUUUGGAGUACACCAUAGUGAAAGACCUAUGGUAAAAAACAAGGUACAACUGGAAUACUGCUUUUUGUUUUUCUAUUUUCAAUAGUAUCUCCUGUUUAUAAUGGAUUGUUUUAAUCUCAGGGAAGAACAUCUGAGGAGAUCACCGGGUCUCUAAAUACCAGUUCUUGUCUCUGCACACCUUUUUUAGGGGGGACUGAUGCCUGGUUAUAUCUGCGGUACACCAGUUCCUAAAGCAAUACCUAAGAAAGUCAAUGUUUCCUAGAUAAACUUGACUUUCAUCAAAUGAUAUUUAGAAUCAGUUUUAAACUUGUAGAGUAUUGCAAUCAAUUAUGAUCAUAUUUUGCAGCAUAUAUCAUGAAGUCCAAAUCAUUUUAGCUUAAAGAAAACAGACGUCUAUUAUUUUUUCACUUAGAGUAAGUCAGGAAGUGUGUAGUCUUAUGUGUUGGCUUUCCAGUGUCAUCAGGGGCCCAGAUUCCUGUCUUUCUGCUCUGCCAUCUCCAAUGUGUGGUUUCUAACCUCAUGAUCCAAAGUGGGUUCUUUUGCUCCAGCCCGCGUAUCAAUGUACCAGGCCAGUAGAAUGAAGAAACUAAGGAGAGCAAAAGGAGGCUCCUUCCUAACUGAGUCAACUUUCUUUAAGCAUUUGUCCUGAAGGUCUCACACAAUAUUUUUGCAUACGUCUCACAGGUCAAAACUUAGUUAUGUGUCCACACAAAAUUUCAGAAGAGGCUGGAAGGUGUUGUCUUUUAGCUGAAUGCAUUAUCAUCCUGGAAUUCAAAUCUGGGUUCUAAUAGUAAGCGAGAAAGAGAGCGUGGUUAUUAAGUGGUGUCAUUUGGCACAGCCUGUCAACAGAGGACAUGUUAAUUGGCAUUCAUACUGAUGUUUUAAUAAAGCAUGUAGUGUGCUUAUGAGGACCAAGAUUGACCAUACUUUGGUCAUCAUCAAUCAUGGACUGAAAGGCUUUUAAACAUGAGGUAUGUACCGCCUAGCAUUCAGUAACAACCCACUUAGUCAUUCCUACCUUAAUUUUAGGUGCAUGAUACCAAAAUGUUAACAUAUUUGAGAAACAGUCCAAGCUAAUUUAAUUUACGUAAGUACAUUUUUAGAUAAGACAAUGAUAAAUUUGAAAAUCAGUUUGGUUUAAUGAUUGGUUAGUUAAAAAUAUAUCAAAUAAAUAACUUUUUCUACCUUAGCAUUUUUAAAAUUCUGGACCUAAAAUUAUUACAUUCUAUUUAGGGCAAGGAUUAGCAAAAUACAGCUUACAGGCCAAGUUUGUCUUGACUUCCUUUUUUGUAAAUAAAGUUUUUUUGAAACACAGUUACUCUCAUAUGGUUACAUAUUGUCAGUGGCUGCUUUCACUCUAUAUCGGCAGAACCGAGUAAUUGUAUUAGAUACCCCCACCACUAAACCCAAUGUGUUUACUAUCUGGAUUCAUACAGACAAUGUUUGCUGACCCCUGGCAUAGGCAAAGCAAAAUACAUGACACAAUGAAUUUCCCUCAUACUUAGAAGUUAGGGCCCACAGAACUCACCUGAAAAGUUGCUUAAUAGUUACUUAAUUAUAUAGCAGAUUAAUCAGUUUUUAACUUGAUUCUGACGUUCCUAAAGAAUGGCAAAUUCCUUCCUAACACAAACUAAACCUUUACCUCCGUGGUUCUCAACUGGGGUCAAUUGUGUCUGCCAGAGACAUCUGGUAAUAUGUAGAGACCUUUUUAGUUGUCACAAGUUGGGGUUGGGAGGUGGCUGCCACUGGCAUUUGAUAGGCAGAGGCCAGGGGUGCUGCCAAACGUCCUACAAUGCACAGGACCGCCACUCAACACAAGGAACUAUCUGGCACAAAAGUCACUAGUGCUAAGACUGAGAAACUCCAUGGUAAGUGAGAACUCCCUAGGACCGAAUAGGUAGUUGUCAAUAACAAAAAGGAGGAAUUACUUUCCUUAAAGGUAAAAAUAAUUGUGGCAUUCGGUAAAAAUAAUUGUGGCAUUCUUUCUUGGUGGUGGAGGUUUUGCUGUACUCCUUCCUUGUUUUUAUUCUCCGAAUGAAAACACCAUUUUUAUCUGAAUUAGUAGCUCAAAGUUUUCCAUUAAUCACCUCAAACGGACUGACACAGUGUUUCACACACAAUGUCACGCAUGCUGUAUGCUAACUCCUGAGUUUUGUUCUGAGGGAGAAAAAUGAAUUCCAUGGCCAAAAGUACUAGAGGAAGAACACUCAUCAUAUCAUCAUCUGGGAGGUUCACUGUUUACCUCCAGGAUAUUAAUGGCACUCAGAAGACUGGUGGUGAAGAAACCUAGGAACUGUAGAAAUGUAAAACCUGAUGAGGCUGCUAUUUGUAGACUAGGUCCAGGGAAGAUGUACUAGGUCAGAGGAGAAGAUAUCAUGGCAGAAUCUUCUAAACAGUUUUUCAUGGAUGACUUAUUCAUACAUGGUCCUCAGACAUGGUCCUCAGAGUGAAAAAUAAAAGAAUUCCUAAGUAAAUGAAUUUGGAGAUUACUACCUUUUACAGAGUUUAACAAGUUCAAUUAUAGCAAAGGCUUUUAACCCUCUUUUUCUGUGUGUGAUAAAUCCCAUUGGCAGUCGCAGAUCUCUUCUCAAAUUAAUGUGAUCAAAUGCAUAAAGCAAAAUGUAUAGGGUAUCAAAUAAAUUGCAUUGAAGUGUAAUUAACAAAACAAAAAUAAACUGGUGAUAUAUGAAUGUAAGCAUCUCUUUAUUAUCACAUUAAAUAAUAAG